AUGAACGCUAGCGGCAGGCUUAACACAUGCAAGUCGAGGGGCAGCACGUCUUCGGAUGGUGGCGACCGGCAAACGGGUGCGGAACACGUACGCAACUUACCCAAAACUGGUGAAUAGCCUUCUGAAAAGGAGAUUAAUACACCGUAAGAUAUGCUGGUGGCAUCACCGGCAUAUAAUAGCUGAGGCGGUUUUGGAUGGGCGUGCGCCUGAUUAGGUAGUUGGUGGGGUAACGGCUCACCAAGCCAACGAUCAGUAACUGGUGUGAGAGCACGACCAGUCACACGGGCACUGAGACACGGGCCCGACUCCUACGGGAGGCAGCAGUGAGGAAUAUUGGUCAAUGGACGCAAGUCUGAACCAGCCAUGCCGCGUGAAGGAUGAAGGCGUUCUGCGUUGUAAACUUCUUUUAUCUGGGAAGAAACCUACGAUUUCUAUCGUAGCCGACGGUACCAGAGGAAUAAGCACCGGCUAACUCCGU
rnacentral:rRNA from 1 species